rnacentral:lncRNA from 1 species
CUAACACUGUACCUGACAAGAGAAAAUUAAUAAUAUUCCUUUUCUUGUGAAUAAAUUUUGGAAAAUAAAAUAUUAUAUAGUUAAUCACUACAUGUCGCUGUGAAGUCUGUUUCUGUCAUACAAAAUUAAAGAGCGUUUUCCUAAGAUCUUCCAGUAACACAGCUGAUCACAAAAUAAGCGUAUUUAUAUCCAAUAUUUAACAAAUCAUAUAUUUGUCUAAAAAAAGAGAAACAACUUCAUGCAUCUAGAACUUGUAGACUGUUUGUUUACAAAUAAUAAACGCUUUUUAUACUUAAGUUACGAAAUUGGAUAAUAAAAUACCUCCCAUUAAUUGACAGGUAUAUUCAAAUUUAUCUUUAAAAUCAGACUUAACCAUCGGCGUGGAAAAUGUCAUUUAC